AGAGUUUGAUCCUGGCUCAGGAUGAACGCUAGCGGCAGGCCUAACACAUGCAAGUCGAGGGGUAAUCCCGCUUUCGGGCGGGAACGACCGGCGCACGGGUGAGUAACGCGUAUGCAACCUACCUUUAACAGGGGGAUAGCCCGAAGAAAUUCGGAUUAAUACCCCAUAAUACUAUGAAUAAGCAUUUAUUUAUAUUAAAAACUCCGGUGGUUAAAGAUGGGCAUGCGUAACAUUAGAUAGUUGGUGAGGUAACGGCUCACCAAGUCUACGAUGUUUAGGGGGCCUGAGAGGGUGGUCCCCCACACUGGUACUGAGACACGGACCAGACUCCUACGGGAGGCAGCAGUGAGGAAUAUUGCGCAAUGGAGGAAACUCUGACGCAGCCAUGCCGCGUGCAGGAUGACGGCCCUACGGGUUGUAAACUGCUUUUAUACAGGAAGAACUUUCCGCACGUGUGCGGGAUUGACGGUACUGUACGAAUAAGCACCGGCUAACUCCGUGCCAGCAGCCGCGGUAAUACGGAGGGUGCAAGCGUUAUCCGGAUUUAUUGGGUUUAAAGGGUGCGUAGGCGGGAUAAUAAGUCAGUGGUGAGAUACUGCAGCUCAACUGUAGAACUGCCAUUGAUACUGUUAUUCUUGAGUUCGAUUGAGGUAGGCGGAAUGUGUAAUGUAGCGGUGAAAUGCUUAGAUAUUACACAGAACACCGAUUGCGUAGGCAGCUUACUAAGUCGACACUGACGCUGAGGCACGAAAGCGUGGGGAGCGAACAGGAUUAGAUACCCUGGUAGUCCACGCUGUAAACUAUGAUCACUAGCUGUUGGCGAUACAUCGUUCAGCGGCAAAGCGAAAGCAUUAAGUGAUCCACCUGGGGAGUACGGUCGCAAGAUUGAAACUCAAAGGAAUUGACGGGGGCCCGCACAAGCGGUGGAACAUGUGGUUUAAUUCGAUGAUACGCGAGGAACCUUACCUGGGCUUAAAUGCAGAUUGACGUUUCGGGAAACCGGAAUUCUCUUCGGAGCGAUUUGCAAGGUGCUGCAUGGUUGUCGUCAGCUCGUGCCGUGAGGUGUCGGGUUAAGUCCCAUAACGAGCGCAACCCCUAUCGUUAGUUGCCAGCGGAUAAUGCCGGGGACUCUAACGAAACUGCCGGUGUAAACCGAGAGGAAGGUGGGGAUGACGUCAAAUCAGCACGGCCCUUAUGUCCAGGGCUACACACGUGUUACAAUGGUCGGUACAGAGGGCAGCUACCUGGUGACAGGAUGCUAAUCUCGAAAGCCGGUCUUAGUUCGGAUCGAAGUCUGCAACUCGACUUCGUGAAGCUGGAAUCGCUAGUAAUCGCGUAUCAGCAACGACGCGGUGAAUACGUUCCCGGGCCUUGUACACACCGCCCGUCAAGCCAUGGAAGCUGGGGGUACCUGAAGUCUGUAACCGCAAGGAGCGGCCUAGGGUAAAACUAGUGACUGGGGCUAAGUCGGAACAAGGUA
rnacentral:rRNA from 1 species